GUCCACGCCGUAAACGAUGGAUACUAGCUGUUGGGAGCGAUCUCAGUGGCUAAGCGAAAGUGAUAAGUAUCCCACCUGGGGAGUACGUUCGCAAGAAUGAAACUCAAAGGAAUUGACGGGGCCCGCACAAGCGGUGGAGCAUGUGGUUUAAUUCGAUGAUACGCGAGGAACAUUACCAAGGCUUAAAUGUAGAUUGACCGGUUUGGAAACAGACUUUUCGCAAGACAAUUUACAAGGUGCUGCAUGGUUGUCGU
rnacentral:rRNA from 1 species